GGGAAGAGACCGGAGUUACACCGAGUUACUGGCGGAAGUAUCCGUCCAGGUCUGCAGCAACGUCAAUUCUUGCCUCCUAAGAAGGAAGAAUUCGACUGAGGGGCACAAAGCAGAAAGGGCGACUGAGUCAAGUUCCAGAGCAGGAAUGAAAGUUUAUUUUAAAAUGCCUUAGAACAGGAACGAAAUGAAGGUGUGCAUGGAAAAGACCCACGCAGGCACAUGAAGGUUAAAGAGAGAAGAGAUGGAUCUCAAAAAAGAAAUCAAAACUGGCUCAGAUUUCCCAAGGAUUUCCAUAUCUAUAUACUAGAAGAUAAUUCAGACUUAUGCAUCUGAGAAGGGUCUCUUUCCUGCCACCUGUGAGGAAGGCGACUUGCUUCCCCUUCACUUUCCACCACAAUUAUUUCAAGUGAUUGAAGAUGUAAAAAUGCAACCAGGAGUAGCUCUGAGAAACACCAGGAUUAUCUAUCCACCCUUCUGAAGCUGAGCAGCAGAUUUAUGGAAUCAGAACAGGGAAUGGACUGGGUGCUUAACACCAAUUAGAGCUGCACAUCUGAAGAAGGGAAGAGAAAGAUCCAAAAAUCUCACAAGAUAGGAGGAGAGUGCAGAUCAGAACCCACCACCUUCUCUGACUCCAAAUGCAAUGCUCUUGGCUUGUCUGCGCACCACUUCUUCUCCAUCUCCAGGUCACUGCAUUUAAUUCUAUCCCAUCUGAGUAUGUGAAAUGGAAGCUUGUUUAGAAAAAUCUUUUUAUCUGCCACCUCCUGAAUCUUAAUUCGUCUUAGUGCCAAAAUGUAUAGUAAUCCACAAAGCUGAAGAAGGCUGCAUCAUGUUUGGGACUUGUUCCCCGCUCAUUUGGAUGGCUGGAUCAGAAACAACAGAAGAAAGAGUGCUUGUCUCUUGUGAGUUUGCCAACUGAGUAUUUGGAUUCAGAUGGAUCACACGCAACACAUCAAAUUGUUUUUAGCUCAGUAUCCAAACAUUUGAUUUUUUUAUCUACACUAAUUCCAAAUUUUAUAAAGUUGUUGAAAGUUGCUUGUGGAUAAGUUCAUACAUAUUUGAAAAAGACACAACCAAAAUACGUUUCUACUUGUCAGGUGGGACUGGGACAAAGGAAAAUAUGUUUGUAGAAUGAGGGUAAAUACUUCUUCCCUGGCAACAGAUUUUUAAAAAAGAAUUUAGAAAAGAUGUAAGUGAUGAUCUAUCAUGGAGAUGAAUAACAGAUUUUAGCAGACAGCUACUCUCUAGUGGAAAAUGUUAUGAAGAAUCCUGAAGCUAUACUCCUGCAAUGCAUGAGAGAGGGUCUCCAUAGAUUGAGGAUGUCUGUCAUGAACAUAGGAGGUAUCAGUGGCACACACAGAUCAGGCAUAAACCGCCUCUGAUCUGACCUAACGAAAUACUUUUCUAAUGACAGACAGGGACAGUGGCUAAACAGACUCUGUACUUAGGUACAGAGCCUAGGUUUCCUGACUUCACUUUCUUGACUUUCAUCAUUCUAGCACAACUUAAAACCUGGUAUCUUCCAGUUUGACAAAGAGAAGUCUCACCACAUACCAAGCAGUUUCUUCAAAUGUUUUGUUCUUUGAAACAAAAUCAAAACAAUCAGUAAAAUAAAGUUUCCUCCUAUUCCUGAAAAAAUGGUCCAGACAGGCUCAUAGACAUCAAUGCGGCCUUGUCACAACAUCUCAACUCUUAGCCACACUCACAAGAAGAACUUGUAGAUUCCUCAUAGAUGUUCUCAAGUUAGAAGGCAAAGCACAACCCUUUUUGACUUUUUCUAAUUGAUGCUUGUUUGCAGAAAGAGUAAACAAGGCCCAGAUUUUUAUUCAUCUGUGGGGCUGUGGGUAGCUAAUUUUUCUUUGAGCCUGCCAGGUUCUACAUUAUAUAAGGAAGACUUUUUAAAAGAGGAGCCCUGCAUUAAUUUAGAGAGAAACCAGUUAGACCAAACAUGCUUGUAACAUAUGGGAAGAGGCACAGAAGGCAUGAGUUGUUCCGGACAGAUGAGCAGAGGAGGGAGAGUGGGGGAGCAGAAUUCUCCUUUUGUGAUCCCUCCUGCUGAUCUCACCCAAACAAACUCGUCUUAGAACUUCAGAGCCACAACUGGACAGAAAGCUACCCAUUCUCUCUGCCUCCCACAGUCUCACUCUCUCUCUCUCUCUUUUUUUUUUUUUCAUUUGACAGGAUCUGAGCCAAAUGGCUCUACACUUUCCUUGCACUGAUUCAGAGCAUAUUCAAGUCAUCUAGGGAAAUGCAUCUCCCUACAUAUGCUCAUGUGGAAAAAUAAACAUACUAAAAUAAAAAAUUUGGGAUUUGACCCCAAUUUCUAGGAUCUACUGUGUCUUCCAGGAGGGGAUAAUGGUAUAACCUGGGGCUACAUAAAAAACAAGCCCUAAA
rnacentral:lncRNA from 1 species